UGCGCAGGCGGUUUUGUAAGACAGUGGUGAAAUCCCCGGGCUCAACCUGGGAGCUGCCAUUGUGACUGCAAGGCUGGAGUGCGGCAGAGGGGGAUGGAAUUCCGCGUGUAGCAGUGAAAUGCGUAGAUAUGCGGAGGAACACCGAUGGCGAAGGCAAUCCCCUGGGCCUGCACUGACGCUCAUGCACGAAAGCGUGGGGAGCAAACA
rnacentral:rRNA from 1 species